rnacentral:rRNA from 1 species
CUGCGGGUAGGUGCAAAUGACCUUUGAUCCGCGGAUUUCCGAAUGGGACAACCCAAUAUCUUGAAGAGAUAUUAUCCAUCUUACGAUGGAGGCGAACGCAGGGAACUGAAACAUCUUAGUACCUGUAGGAAUAGAAAAUAAAUAAUGAUUCCCCUAGUAGUGGCGAGCGAACGGGGAAUAGCCCAAACCAUAUGUGUUACGGCAUGUAUGGGGUUGUAGGACCACGUCGUGGGACGAAAGUUAGUGAGUAGAAUGAUCUGGAAAGUUCAGUCAUAGACGGUGAUAACCCGGUAUACUAAGCUAAUUGAACCCUAGUGGUAUCCUGAGUAGCGCGGGACACGAGGAAUCUUGCGUGAAUCUGCCGGGACCAUCCGGUAAGGCUAAAUACUCCCGAGAGACCGAUAGCGAACCAGUACUGUGAAGGAAAGGUGAAAAGCACUUCGAACAGAAGAGUGAAAUAGUCCCUGAAACCAUGCGCCUACAAGCGGUCGGAGCAGCUUUAUGCUGUGACGGCGUGCCUUUUGCAUAAUGAACCUACGAGUUACUUUUUCCGGCAAGGUUAAGGAUCUUGAGAUCCGCAGCCGAAGCGAAAGCGAGUCUGAACAGGGCGGAUAGUCGGAAGGAGUAGACGCGAAACCAAGUGAUCUACCCUUGGCCAGGUUGAAGGACAGGUAACACUGUCUGGAGGACCGAACCGAUAAGCGUUGAAAAGCUUCCGGAUGAGCUGAGGGUGGGGGUGAAAGGCUAAUCAAACUUGGAGAUAGCUCGUACUCCCCGAAAUGCAUUUAGGUGCAGCCUUGCGGGUUACUGAUGUGAGGUAGAGCGACUGAUAAGAUGCGAGGGCUUCACCGCCUAUCAAGUCUUGACAAACUCCGAAUGCGCAUCAGUUCUACCGCAGGAGUGAGGGCAUGGGUGCUAAGGUCCGUGCCCGAGAGGAGAAGAAUCCGGACCACCUGCUAAGGUCCCGAAAUGACAGCUAAGUUAAACUAACGAAGUCUGACUGCUAAGACAGCUAGGAUGUUGGCUUGGAAGCAGCCAUUCAUUUAAAGAGUGCGUAACAGCUCACUAGUCGAGGAGUUUGGCGUGGAUAAUAAUCGGGCAUAAGUGGUUUACCGAAGCUAUGGGAUGUUUAAUACAUCGGUAGGGGAGCAUUCCACUCUGCGUCGAAGGUGAAGCGUGAGCUUUGCUGGAGCGUGUGGAAAAGCAAAUGUAGGUAUAAGUAACGAUAAAGGGGGUGAGAAACCCCCUCGCCGAAAGACUAAGGUUUCCUGAUCAACGCUAAUCGGAUCAGGGUUAGUCGGGUCCUAAGGCUCAGCCGAACGGUGAGGCCGAUGGCAGAACAGGUUAAUAUUCCUGUACUACCUUAAAGAGUGACGUGGAGACGGAGGCGUGACAGUGCCGCGAACUGACGGAAUAGUUCGUUGAAGGGUGUAGAUGUUGAUCGGGGUAGGCAAAUCCGCUCCGAGAGUCGAACCUGAUAGUAUGGAGCGUUCUUCGGAACAAUCCAAUAGUGCAUGUAAACAUACUCCCAAGAAAAUCCGCUAAACUUAAUCUUUAAGGUACCCGUACCGCAAACGGACACACGUAGUCGGGUUGAAUAUACUAAGGCGCUUGAGUGAUUCACGGUUAAGGAACUAGGCAAAUUGACCCUGUAACUUCGGGAUAAAGGGUCCCAACGAGAGUUGGGCGCAGAGAAUAGGUCCAGGCAACUGUUUAACAAAAACACAGGGCUGUGCAAAAUUGAAAGAUGAAGUAUACAGCCUGACACCUGCCCGGUGCUGGAAGGUUAAGAGGAGAUGUCAUCGCAAGAGAAGCAUUGAAUUGAAGCCCCAGUAAACGGCGGCCGUAACAAUAACGGUCCUAAGGUAGCGAAAUUCCUUGUCGGGUAAGUUCCGACCUGCACGAAUGGUGUAAUGAUCUGGACACUGUCUCAACCGUGAGCUCAGUGAAAUUGUAGUAUCGGUGAAGAUGCCGAUUACCCGCGAUGGGACGAAAAGACCCCGUGAACCUUUACUAUAGCUUAACAUUGAAUUUGGGUAAUUGAUGUGUAGGAUAGGCCGGAGGCUUUGAAGCGGGCACGCCAGUGUCCGUGGAGCCGCUGUUGAAAUACGGCCCUUUGAUUAUUUGAGUUCUAACCCGUUGUUGCGGGGACACUGUUUGGUGGGUAGUUUGACUGGGGUGGUCGCCUCCAAAAGUGUAACGGAGGCUUCUAAAGGUGCCCUCA